UUAUGAGUCUUGUUUCCAUCUUGUAACAGGCAACUGCAUCUCAGAAGGGGUGUCCUUUCUGAAUAAGACCCAGGGAGAUGAUGUUCUGUUACAGUUACACCCAAAAGUAGGAAAUGAGGCCCAGAGGAUUAGAUUGUAUUUGGAAUCUAAGAAUCUGCUCCUACUCACCAUCUAUCCAGGGGAGAGCAAUUCAAGCUGGAUCAUUCCCCAGAAGGAGUAUGAGGGGCGUCUGUCUGCCCCUGAUGAUAAGUCUCCGAUGUUAAUGAAUGCAAACUCUAAAGACAGUGGAUGUUAUGAAAUUCACAUAUCUUCAGUCUCUGGAGACAUACAUAUUCAGAAAUUCAAUUUAACUGUCUUUGGGCCUUGCCAGCUACAACCACACAAGAAAAUGGAGUGAUGCUGCAGAGUCUGCACACCACAGGAGAGCAGCUGAGAGUAGCCCCGGUAGCAGCAGCCCAACAUGGACCAAAGACAUUUCCCCUGCACUGUUGCAAGCCUGAGCACAGAUGUCCUCUACAUAUGUGCUUCUCCAUAACUGUCCACAUGUCCCAUUGAUGGCAUAUAAUGGUGGCAAACUCUGCCUCAGGUUUCUAGGGGAAGUGUCCUUACUUCUCUCCUUCCUGACCUCUUGGAUGGUAUUCUGCCCAUUAUCCUCAUUCCCCUCUCUCCUACCAGAACUCUAUCCUCUCAAUGCUGAUCCCUGAUGAGUGAGCUUUCCCUUUUUCUUGUCCAGAAACAGGGCUCUAGGCCAUUUCUGACCAGCUCUACAUUAGGCCACAGAGCACUUCCUCUACCCCAUUCCAAUUCUUCUUCAUGUAUUAUCUUCUGCCAUUCACAUCUAAGUUCCCUAAGGACAGCGUGAAUGCCAAGAUAGACCAAGGUAUCCCAAAGACCUCAGUUCAAAUUCUGCCUUAGCACUUUAUAGCUGUGUGACCCUGGGCAAGUCACUUAGCCUCAGUUUCCUCAUCUGUAAAAUGGGAUUAAUAAUAGCACCUACCUCCUAGAGUUGGAGAAAAUGAGAUAAUAUUUGUUUAUUUUUAUAAAUAAUAUUUUCCCUUCAAUGACAUGUAAAAACAAAUUUUUAGCAUUUGGUUUUUCAAAUUUUGAGUUCUAAAUUCUAUCCUUUCCUCCCUCCUCUCCCCCUCCCUGAGACAGUAAGCAAUCUGAUAUAGGUUAUACAUGUGUAUUCAAGUAAAAUAUAUUUCCACAUUGGUCAUUUUGUGGAAGAAAACUCAAACAAAAAAAUGAGGGAGAGAAAGUGGAAAAAUAGUAUGCUUUGGUCUGUAUUCAGACACCAACAGUUCUUUCUCUGGAGGCAGCUAGCAUUUUUCAUCCUGAGUCCUUUGGGAUUAUUUUGGAUCAUUGUGAAUAUGAGAUAAUACUUGUAAAGCACUUUG
rnacentral:lncRNA from 1 species